rnacentral:rRNA from 1 species
CGGCGGACGGGUGAGUAAUGUCUGGGAAACUGCCUGAUGGAGGGGGAUAACUACUGGAAACGGUAGCUAAUACCGCAUAACGUCGCAAGACCAAAGAGGGGGACCUUCGGGCCUCUUGCCAUCAGAUGUGCCCAGAUGGGAUUAGCUAGUAGGUGGGGUAAUGGCUCACCUAGGCGACGAUCCCUAGCUGGUCUGAGAGGAUGACCAGCCACACUGGAACUGAGACACGGUCCAGACUCCUACGGGAGGCAGCAGUGGGGAAUAUUGCACAAUGGGCGCAAGCCUGAUGCAACCAUGCCGCGUGUGUGAA